rnacentral:lncRNA from 1 species
CAAGGAUGGAAAGAGAAAAUCCACAGUGCCUGUUCUGCAAGUACAGAAUUCCAGCACUGCAACUUUGCGGCUUGGGCAAGCUACAUUGCCACUAUGAACCUCAGUCUCCUCCUCUGGAAUAGAGACUGGUAAAAAUUCUCGCUAUACAGGUUGGCUGGGAAAUGCUAAGUCUUACCCUCAUGAAAAGACAAGAAAUUGCAACAUGAAUCUGAUGGUGAAACCCUGGCGCAUGUCUCUGGCAUGGACAUGGGAUGCUCUCUCUGAACCAGCAUCCCAAGCGCAGUCCCCAUGAUUCUUCAAGCCCUCCUGGGCCCCAGGUAGGAAACCAGACAUGCAGGCUUCCCUGAGCAGGUCAGGGGCCUGCCUGCCUUGACUGGCAAGCCUGGAAAGGAAUUUUAAUCGAAGUUCAUUAACAUUUUUCUCCUACUUCUUGAGGAUUUGCUGUGUGAGUUUAGAGGAAUGUUAUCUCUGAUAAGAUGAAGACAGGGCCUGUGGACAACAGCUCCCUUGCUCUCAGGGAUCCCCUGUUAGAUGCUAAGCAUGUACAACCCCCGCCCCUCCGCCGCCACCAGCUAGUCCCUGCACCCACUUUCUGGCCCAAGCUAUUGGGGCUGUUAGUUCAGGCCUCCUAAGAGCUGUCCCCUU